UACGUAGGGUGCAAGCGUUAAUCGGAAUUACUGGGCGUAAAGCGUGCGCAGGCGGUGAUGUAAGACAGGUGUGAAAUCCCCGGGCUUAACCUGGGAACUGCAUUUGUGACUGCAUCGCUGGAGUGCGGCAGAGGGGGAUGGAAUUCCGCGUGUAGCAGUGAAAUGCGUAGAUAUCGUUUGGAACGCCAAUGGUGAAAACAGGUAGCUGGGAGUGUGCCGACGCUGAGACACGAAAGCCAGGGGAGCGAACGGG
rnacentral:rRNA from 1 species